rnacentral:precursor_RNA from 9 species
UUUCGAGAGAAUUUCACCGGCUAUUGUGGGCGCGGAUCGUGGGGGCACCACUCUUACUUUCACGGUGGAUUUCCCAAGAUCCGUGAUUGCAGUUCAGUUGGUAUCGACAGGCAGCUG